rnacentral:misc_RNA from 1 species
AACUUGAUUUGGUAGGUAUAGUGUGUUUUGGUGUGGGUUAUUGUAAUUUUAAUGUAUUGCACGUUGCCUGAUUUGCGACACAACUUACAAAAUUGAAAUAGCAGUCGAUGCCGGCGGCGGCGACGACAGUGCGCCGGCGCACAUCUCUAUGGAGGUGGACACGGCGACCCUUGGGCGACCGCCGCUGCCGCGGUUUGCUACAGGUGGCCAUGGCCACUAAUCUGUCACGAACUUCUGACAGUGAACGCCAGUCGGUUCUCGGAUGUGAGGACGCGCCCGUCGAAUCAAGUGACGGAGAUGCACCGUGUGACAGUGUGCGUUUUCCGGGCGAGUUCGUUGCGCUGUGUGCCGGUCGUGCGCGGGACUGGUACCACCCGUCGUUCCACCAGUUCUCAGUGCUGCAGCGCGCCGUGCGCGAUCUCAGUGCCGCCGUCGAGGAGACUGUGCGCCGCGAGCUGCCGCCCGAGGACCGGCCGGCGCUGACCCGGCUGUAGCCGCUGGCUGACGGCGCGCUGUCGCUGCGUCCGCCGACCCUGCACCGGCCGCGCCGGGAGGCCGAGCUGCUGACCCAGCUGCAGCAGCUGGCGGUGGCCCUGGACGGCGCCUGCCCCCUGAUGGCGGGUGGCAGCUGCGGGAGCCACGUGACGCCGUCUGCGCUCUCGGCAGCGCGCCACCUGGAGCCGCAUGCAGACCGCGUUGCCAGAGCUGCGUCGUCUGACGUCGGGUCUGCUGCGACUGGUGACGCGCCAGAGGACGCGCUGGUCACCGCCGCGAGCCCGGAUCGAGACGGACACGGAGACAGUUCCGAACGGAGCCUCCCUCACCAGGUCUCUGAAUGGAGCUGCGUUCCGGUGGGCGGCUGGCUGCGCUCUCUCGGUCUGGCCCAGUACGCCGACGCGUUCGUCGCCCGCUCUGUGGAUGGCGCCCGGCUUCUGGGGCUCACCGAACAGGCUAUGGAAGACGAGCCCGACGUCGGUCUCGACGUGGCGACCUCGGAGCCAGCGUGUUGGGUCUCGGCUUCCCGCCACUCACCGGCGGACCUUUCCGCUUCGUGGACCGCAUCGGUCCCGCACAGCUAGUCAAGGACAUGGAGCGCUUCGCCGUCGUCAAUGGCGUCGGCUUCGAGCCGUGCCUGACCGUGCACUACCAGGCCGCUAGCGGCACCAAGUUCUGUUCGGCCGGGCCUCGUGUAAUGCCCACAUGUGAUGACCGAGUGUAUACGCAUGUGAAGCCGCUCCGCGUGUGUACCAGCGCUGGGCGUGUUCAGUUUCAAAGUAUGUAAAUAUAGAACCCUGGUGAUCAA